AGACCUUCUAGAGAAGGGCGAAGGCUGUGGUUGUUCUGGGUUUAGCUGUUCACGCCGAAGAUCCCCGGCCUGAUGGCCAAAAUGGAGGCUAUUUUUCGCGGGCAUUAUCACUCAGACACCACGCACUGAAUUAUUCGUCCUCACCCGAGACUCAGUUUGCCCACCAGAGCGUAGUAUCGCCCCCAUCUGUCACCAUAGCGACUAGUGGAUUGGAGCUGACUCGUUGCCAUGGUUGCCAUAGUGAUAUUCUCUGGUAGUCCCGCUGUGUUGUGCCCAGGACUCCCACUGGGGACUGACCCCAAUCCCGUUGCCAUGGAAACUGGGCCUAAUAUUGCCUGGCGAUUGGGCCGAGAUUUUCCCCUCCCCUCUUUCCUCAAAGACACUGCAGCUCCUUCCCUGUCUUCCCAAGCAAGGUUUGUUAUGCCCGGUCUUAAAUACAGUCCAGCAAACAGCCUCAACGUUCAACCUUGUCUGGAGCAUGUCACCUUGCCCACAUCCCUAAUGCUCUGGUAGUCAAGAGACCUCCGUAGUCACCUCCAUUUUACAUAUGAGGGCACUGAAGUUCUGAGGGGCUAAAGUCAUUAAUAGAACCAGUAUUAGAAUCCUGAUCUACAAUUCAGAGUUCAGCUUCUACGGCUGAACUUUACCCACCAACCCCUCCGAAAGGAGAAAAACCAGGCCCCAGGAAUCAGCAGGGACUAGCCUAAGACCUCAUGGGCCCAGGCCUGUUGCCUCUCUGGUAGAAAGGGCUGAGUCCCAGCUCCAGGAAGGCCCUCCAUCCCCCUUCACACCCUCUCCCCAACAACAACAACAACAACAAAAGUAGA
rnacentral:lncRNA from 10 species